ACCCGCUGAACUUAAGCAUAUCAAUAAGCGGAGGAAAAGAAACCAACAGGGAUUGCUCUAGUAACGGCGAGUGAAGCAGCAAUAGCUCAAAUUUGAAAUCUGGCGUCUUCGACGUCCGAGUUGUAAUUUGUAGAGGAUGCUUCUGAGUGGCCACCGACCUAAGUUCCUUGGAACAGGACGUCAUAGAGGGUGAGAAUCCCGUAUGCGGUCGGAAAGGCGCUCUAUACGUAGCUCCUUCGACGAGUCGAGUUGUUUGGGAAUGCAGCUCUAAAUGGGAGGUAAAUUUCUUCUAAAGCUAAAUAUUGGCCAGAGACCGAUAGCGCACAAGUAGAGUGAUCGAAAGAUGAAAAGCACUUUGGAAAGAGAGUUAAAAAGCACGUGAAAUUGUUAAAAGGGAAGGGAUUGCAACCAGACUUGCUCGCGGUGUUCCGCCGGUCUUCUGACCGGUCUACUCGCCGCGUUGCAGGCCAGCAUCGUCUGGUGCCGCUGGAUAAGACUUGAGGAAUGUAGCUCCCUCGGGAGUGUUAUAGCCUCUUGUGAUGCAGCGAGCGCCGGGCGAGGUCCGCGCUUCGGCUAGGAUGCUGGCGUAAUGGUCGUAAUCCGCCCGUCUUGAAACACGGACCAAGGAGUCUAACAUCUAUGCGAGUGUUCGGGUGUCAAACCCCUACGCGUAAUGAAAGUGAACGGAGGUGAGAACCGCAAGGUGCAUCAUCGACCGAUCCUGAUGUCUUCGGGUGGAUUUGAGUAAGAGCAUAGCUGUUGGGACCCGAAAGAUGGUGAACUAUGCCUGAAUAGGGUGAAGCCAGAGGAAACUCUGGUGGAGGCUCGCAGCGGUUCUGACGUGCAAAUCGAUCGUCAAAUUUGGGUAUAGGGGCGAAAGACUAAUCGAACCAUCUAGUAGCUGGUUCCUGCCGAAGUUUCCCU
rnacentral:rRNA from 1 species